AGUGAACGCUGGCGGUAGGCCUAACACAUGCAAGUCGAACGGCAGCACAGUAAGAGCUUGCUCUUACGGGUGGCGAGUGGCGGACGGGUGAGGAAUACAUCGGAAUCUACUUUUUCGUGGGGGAUAACGUAGGGAAACUUACGCUAAUACCGCAUACGACCUACGGGUGAAAGCAGGGGAUCUUCGGACCUUGCGCGAUUGAAUGAGCCGAUGUCGGAUUAGCUAGUUGGCGGGGUAAAGGCCCACCAAGGCGACGAUCCGUAGCUGGUCUGAGAGGAUGAUCAGCCACACUGGAACUGAGACACGGUCCAGACUCCUACGGGAGGCAGCAGUGGGGAAUAUUGGACAAUGGGCGCAAGCCUGAUCCAGCCAUACCGCGUGGGUGAAGAAGGCCUUCGGGUUGUAAAGCCCUUUUGUUGGGAAAGAAAAGCAGCAGGUUAAUACCCCGCUGUUCUGACGGGACCCAAAGAAUAAGCACCGGCUAACUUCG
rnacentral:rRNA from 1 species